rnacentral:lncRNA from 1 species
UGUUUCGUUCCACUCCACUAAUUUUUGCCAAAAUUACGGGCUUUGAACUUUGAGAAAUUGUUGAAAAUUACAGUUAUACAUUGUUUUUUUUAUAAACGCCUUUAGAUAUUGGGCUGAUUUUUGGUAAGUAAGUUAACCAUGAUGAUUUACAGAUCAAGUUUAAGUUUCGAUCUAUUAACCACACUUUGCCGAAAUUACAGGAUUUGAUCUUUGAGAAAUUGUGAAAAAUCACGUUAUGCAGAUUUUUUUUUAAUAUUUUUUUUAUUGUAUACAUUUUCAUGAAUGACAGAAUUAUUGAGAAUAUUGAAUUUUGU